GCGAGUGUAGUUCAGUGGUCAGAACGCGAUCCUUCCAAGUUCGAUGUCCGGGGUUCGAGUCCCCGCACUCGCU
rnacentral:tRNA from 1 species